GCGGGCAUAGCUCAUCUGGUAGAGCGGCCAUUCGCGGGAUGCCGGGAAGCGAGCUCGAGCCUCGUUGCCCGCUCCA
rnacentral:tRNA from 1 species